rnacentral:rRNA from 1 species
UACAGAGGUCUCGAGCGUUAGGCGGAAUCACUGGGCUUAAAGCGUGUGUAGGCGGAUCGUUAAGUGCCUUGUGAAAUCCCACGGCUCAACCGUGGAACUGCUUGGCAUACUGGCGGUCUUGAGCAACCUAGGGGCGAGCGGAACAAAUGGUGGAGCGGUGAAAUGCGUAGAUAUCAUUUGGAACGCCAAUGGUGAAAACAGCUCGCUGGGGAUGUACCGACGCUGAGACACGGAAGCCAGGGGAGCGAACGGG